rnacentral:rRNA from 1 species
GAGUUUGAUCCUGGCUCAGGACGAACGCUGGCGGCGUGCUUAACACAUGCAAGUCGAGCGGAAAGGCCCUUCGGGGUACUCGAGCGGCGAACGGGUGAGUAACACGUGAGUAACCUGCCCUAGGCUUUGGGAUAACCCUCGGAAACGGGGGCUAAUACCGGAUAUGACUGCUGGUCGCAUGACUGGUGGUGGAAAGUUUUUCGGCCUGGGAUGACUCGCGGCCUAUCAGCUUGUUGGUGGGGUAAUGGCCUACCAAGGCGACGACGGGUAGCCGGCCUGAGAGGGCGACCGGCCACACUGGGACUGAGACACGGCCCAGACUCCUACGGGAGGCAGCAGUGGGGAAUAUUGCACAAUGGGCGGAAGCCUGAUGCAGCGACGCCGCGUGAGGGAUGACGGCCUCGGUUGUAACCGUACUUUCUAGCAGGACGAAGCGAGAGUGACGGUACCUGCAGAAGAAGACA